CUGCGAUCCACCUACCUUGGCCUUCCAAAGUGCUGGGAUUACAGGCGUGAGCCACCAUGCCCAGCCGCUUCAUCUUUCUUUACUCAUGAAUGUCCUAAGCUUUGUAUUCACAGCUGUUCUCAUGCAUUCAUUCCAUGCCGGCCUUAGAGGACUCGGUCAAGACAAUGGUGCCCUCAGGAAGGUUACGAGAGAGCAAGCUGUGCUGCUUUGCCCAUCUUGGGAUGAGCAUCACCCAGAGAGAGGGACCAGAAUCCCUGAGGCCAUCUUGGUUCAUCUGCACCGUCUCUCCUACACCUCUUCACCCCUCCCCUCUCCACUUCACUCCAGGCUGCAUUGGGGCGGGGAGGUGAUCAUCCAAGGCCCUGGCUCUCCAUCGAGACCCCAGCCAGGUAGAGCCCCUAUUGCCUGAGCAAGCUUGCGCAGGAUGGGGCUGGAGCUGCACUAUUUGGAUCUUCUUGGAGUAGAAAAUUCACAAAUUCCAACCUCUGCUCCCAAAGCAAACCUCCCCAGCCCAGGUGGCUGCAUCCUUCUCCUCCCCUCCCCCCAGUUCCCUGGGUCGCCAAGCCGGAGGCUUUGAAAACCAGCUUGUGUUUGGUUUGUGAAAGCACCAAUGUUUGCAAUGUUUGCCCAGCAGAGAAGGAGCAUAUUUUCUCCCUUCCAAAUGCAAACUCAAAAGAUGCUCCACCAGUUUUUCUUCAGACUUUCCACAGGAAACAUAAAUAAGAAAGAAAAAUGACUUUAGGUGCUGAGACCUGAAAUGGAAUUUCAACCCUGAAGGAACUGCCUGUAACAAGCACUCUCUGUCCUUCAGUGAAGGCUUCGAGAGCCUAGGUGCAUGUUUCUUUCCUCUGAGUAGCCUUCACAGAUGAGGCAAGGGGAGGAGCUGAACCAGUUCUUAGACCUGACUCCCAGCUAGAUCUUCAGCCCCACACAAUGAAUGGCCGGUGACUGGCACAGCAGCUGAGAUUCCCUGGCUACAGUGUUCUUUUUUAUCUUUCUUGAUUGUGUUAGGGUAGAACAAAUGAGGGUGCUGCAACCCGAGAGGCCCAGCCACACUGCAAGCCAGCACAAUCAGAGUGUGAAGUGUGGACACGCCCCCCUGGAACACAAGGCCACAGUUUGCCACCUGCUCUGCCCUUGUCUCCAUCUCGGAAGAAGGACAUCCCUGAUCUGUGGCCUCUGUCCUCACGGAUCUUAUAAUUAUCAGACAAACACAACCACAGAGAGGCUGGAAGGCAGUGCUUCAGCAUCACACAUAUAUGCAUCGGUGACCAGAGUUCUGAUUAAUCUUAAUGCACAGAUAAUUGGAGCAUUUCUUGCUCACAGCUUAUAGCCACCAAAUGACUGCUUCCAGGUUAGGAGUUUGCAGAAUAUGUACACACACGGAGCCCUACAAAAGGCUCCAGACCCAAGAAAUACAGGGUUGAAGUCAGUGUGGACAGUUCUAAUGCAGCUAAUACAUUCUAACUGAUUUGUUGUGAGCUAAGGGUUCAGUGUUUACACUUCAAGGUCACUGUUUCUGUCUCCUGACAUCUGAGAACCUUUCUUCUUCUUCUUUUUUUUUUGAGACAGAGUCUUGCCGUGUCA
rnacentral:lncRNA from 1 species